CAAUAGCGUAUAUUAAAGUUGUUGCAGUUAAAAAGCUCGUAGUUGGAUUUCUGGCGGGAGUCCGGGUCGGCCUUAACGGGUUGCACUGUUGUGACGUCUCGCCGUUUCGAGGGGAAUGGGCUCGCUAUUAGGUUAGUGUGUUCGGGAACCUCGUCGUUUACUGUGAAAAAUUAGAGUGUUCAAAGCAGGCCUUUGCUGUGAAUACAUUAGCAUGGAAUAAUAAGAUAGGACUGUAGUGCUAUUUUGUUGGUUUGCGUACUAUGGUAAUGAUUAAUAGGGAUAGUUGGGGGUAUUCAUAUUCAAUUGUCAGAGGUGAAAUUCUUGGAUUUAUGGAAGAUGAACUACUGCGAAAGCAUUUACCAAGGAUGUUUUCAUUAAUCAAGAACGAAAGUUAGGGGAUCGAAGACGAUUAGAUACCAU
rnacentral:rRNA from 1 species